rnacentral:rRNA from 1 species
GAUGAACGCUGGCGGCGUGCUUAACACAUGCAAGUCGAACGGAAAGGCUCCUGCUUGCAGGGGUACUCGAGUGGCGAACGGGUGAGUAACACGUGGGUGAUCUGCCCUGCACUUCGGGAUAAGCCUGGGAAACUGGGUCUAAUACCGGAUAGGACCACAUUUUGGAUGGUGUGGUGGAAAGUUUUUCGGUGUGGGAUGAGCUCGCGGCCUAUCAGCUUGUUGGUGGGGUAAUGGCCUACAAAGGCGUCGACGGGUAGCCGGCCUGGGAGGGUGUACGGCCACAUUGGGACGGAGAUACGGCCCAGACUCAUACGGGAGGCAGCAGUGGGGAAAAUUGAACAAUGGGCGCAAGCCUGAUGCAGAGACGCCGGGUGGGGGAUGACGGCCUUCGGGUUGUAAACUCCUUUGCUAGGGACGAAGCGCAAGUGACGGUACCUGGAGAAGAAGCACCGGCUAACUACGUG